CUAGUUUUAAUAACUAACACCAACUUCUUUUAUUAAACAAAAACCAAUACAAAAUUAAAAACUAACUUCAUCAAAAACCAA
rnacentral:misc_RNA from 1 species